AAACUUGAGAGUUUGAUCAUGGCUCAGAACGUACGCUGGCGGCACGCCUAACACAUGCAAGUCGAACGAAGUAGCAAUACUUAGUGGCAGACGGGUGAGUAACAUGUAGGUAUCUGCCCUUUGGCCUGGAAUAACACGAGGAAACUUGUGCUAAUACUGGAUAAGUCUUUACAGAGAAAGCUUUAUGCACCAUUGGAUGAGCCUGCACUUGAUUAGUUUGUUGGUGGGGUAAUGGCCUACCAAGACUGUGAUCAAUAGCUGAUUUGAGAGGAUGAUCAGCCACAUUGGGACUGAGACACGGCCCAAACUCCUACGGGAGGCAGCAGUGGGGAAUCUUGCACAAUGGAGGAAACUCUGAUGCAGCGAUGCCGCGUGAGUGAAGAAGGCCCUUGGGUUGUAAAGCUCUUUCGUCGGGGAAGAAAAUGACUGUACCCGAAUAAGAAGGUCCGGCUAACUUCGUGCCAGCAGCCGCGGUAAUACGAAGGGACCUAGCGUAGUUCGGAAUUACUGGGCUUAAAGAGUUCGUAGGUGGUUGAAAAAGUUAGUGGUGAAAUCCCAGAGCUUAACUCUGGAACUGCCAUUAAAACUUUUCAGCUAGAGUAUGAUAGAGGAAAGCAGAAUUUCUAGUGUAGAGGUGAAAUUCGUAGAUAUUAGAAAGAAUACCAAUUGCGAAGGCAGCUUUCUGGAUCAUUACUGACACUGAGGAACGAAAGCAUGGGUAGCGAAGAGGAUUAGAUACCCUCGUAGUCCAUGCCGUAAACGAUGUGUGUUAGACGUUGGAAAUUUAUUUUCAGUGUCGCAGCGAAAGCGAUAAACACACCGCCUGGGGAGUACGACCGCAAGGUUAAAACUCAAAUGAAUUGACGGGGACCCGCACAAGUAGUGGAGCAUGUGGUUUAAUUCGAAGAUACGCGCAGAACCUUACCAACACUUGACAUGUUCGUCGCGACUUUAAGAGAUUAAAGUUUUCGGUUCGGCCGGACGAAACACAGGUGCUGCAUGGCUGUCGUCAGCUCGUGUCGUGAGAUGUUGGGUUAAGUCCCGCAACGAGCGCAACCCUCACUUUUAGUUGCCAUCAUUAAGUUGGGCACUCUGAAAGAACUGCCAGUGAUAAGCUGGAGGAAGGUGGGGAUGACGUCAAGUCCUCAUGGCCCUUACGUGUUGGGCUACACACGUGCUACAAUGGUAUCUACAACAGGAAGCAAAACCGCGAGGUUAAGCAAAUCCUUAAAAGAUACCUCAGUUCGGAUUGCACUCUGCAACUCGAGUGCAUGAAGCUGGAAUUACUAGUAAUCGUGGAUCAGCGUGCCACGGUGAAUGCGUUCCCGGGUCUUGUACACACCGCCCGUCACACCAUGGGAGUUGGUUCUACCUUAAGGCAAGGUUUAAAACCCUUGACCACGGUAUAGUCAGCGACUGGGGUGAAGUCGUAACAAGGUAGCCGUAGGGGAACCUGCGGCUGGAUUACCUCCUUU
rnacentral:rRNA from 1 species